rnacentral:rRNA from 1 species
AUACGGAGGAUGCGAGCGUUAUCCGGAUUUAUUGGGUUUAAAGGGUGCGUAGGCGGAUGUUUAAGUCAGUUGUGAAAUCCUACGGCUUAACUUUAAAAUUGCCGUUGAUACUGAAAGCCUUGAGUGUGUUAAAUGUGGGCGGAAUGCGUGAUGUAGCGGUGAAAUGCUUAGAUAUUACGAAGAACUCCACUUGCGUAGGCAGCUCACUGGCCGGACACUGACGCUGAUGCACGAAAGGGUGGGUAUCAAACAGGAUUAGAUACCCUGGUAGUCCACGCAGUAAACGAUGAUUACUCGCUGUUGGCGAUAUACAGUAAGCGGCUAAGCGAAAGCAUUAAGUAUUCCACCUGGGGAGUACGGCCGCAAGGUUGA